rnacentral:tRNA from 1 species
GGGAAGGUGGCUCAGUGGUAGAGUGCUUGCCUUGCAAGCCAGAGCCCCCCCCCCAAAAAAAAUAAUUUUAAGUGGUGAGACUAUGCUUUUUCUUUCUUU